CGAACGCUGGCGGCAGGCCUAACACAUGCAAGUCGAACGAGAAGCUAGAGCUUGCUCUAGUGGACAGUGGCAGACGGGUGAGUAACGCGUGGGAAUUUACCCAUUGGUACGGAAUAACUCAGGGAAACUUGUGCUAAUACCGUAUAAGCCCUUCGGGGGAAAGAUUUAUCGCCAAUGGAUGAGCCCGCGUUAGAUUAGUUUGUUGGUGGGGUAAUGGCCUACCAAGACUACGAUCUAUAGCUGGUCUGAGAGGAUGAUCAGCCACACUGGGACUGAGACACGGCCCAGACUCCUACGGGAGGCAGCAGUGGGGAAUAUUGCACAAUGGGCGAAAGCCUGAUGCAGCCAUGCCGCGUGAGUGAAGAAGGCCUUAGGGUUGUAAAACUCUUUCACCGGUGAAGAUAAUGACGGUAGCCGGAGAAGAAGCCCCGGCUAACUCC
rnacentral:rRNA from 1 species